rnacentral:piRNA from 1 species
UUACUGUGCGGUGGGCAUAACUGGUCUGU